rnacentral:rRNA from 1 species
CCCUUAGAUGUUCUGGGCUGCACGCGCGCUACACUGAUGCAUGCAACGAGUUUUCGACCUUGCCUGAAAAGGUUGGGUAAUCUGUUUAACAUGUGUCGUGAUGGGGAUAGACCAUUGCAAUUAUUGAUCUUCAACGAGGAAUUCCUAGUAAGCGCGAGUCAUCAGCUUGCGCUGACUACGUCCCUGCCCCUUGUACACACCGCCCGUCGCUGCCCGGAACUGAGCCGUUUCGAGAAAGCCGGGGACCGACGACUUGUGGGCGCGCAAGCGCUUCUAGUCGAUGGAAACCAGUUUAAUCGGUAUGGCUUGAACCGGGCAAAAGUCGUAACA